rnacentral:rRNA from 1 species
GACAGAGGGUGCGAACGUUGUUCGGAAUUACUGGGCGUAAAGCGCGUGUAGGUGGCAUCGCAAGUCGGAUGUGAAAGCCCGGGGCUCAACCCCGGAAGUGCAUUCGAUACUGCGGAGCUAGAGUCUCGGAGAGGAUGGUGGAACUCUCGGUGUAGAGGUGAAAUUCGUAGAUAUCGAGAAGAACACCGGCGGCGAAGGCGGCCAUCUGGACGAUGACUGACACUGAGACGCGAAAGCGUGGGGAGCAAACAGG